UCAAAAAGUAGUAUAUUAAUUACAGCUCGUUUACACCGAACUAAAGGUUUCAAACCCUUUUUGAA
rnacentral:tRNA from 1 species